rnacentral:rRNA from 1 species
UACGUAGGGGGCAAGCGUUGUCCGGAUUUAUUGGGCGUAAAGAGCGUGUAGGCGGCCACACAGGUCAGCUGUGAAAACUCGAGGCUCAACCUCGAGACGUCGGUUGAAACCGUAUGGCUAGAGUCCGGAAGAGGAGACUGGAAUUCCUGGUGUAGCGGUGAAAUGCGCAGAUAGUCAGGAGGAACACCGGUGGCGAAGGCGGGUCUCUGGGCCGACAUUGGACGCUGAGGAGCGAAAGCGUGGGGAGCGAACAGG